CCUACGGGGGGCAGCAGUGGGGAAUAUUGCACAAUGGGGGAAACCCUGAUGCAGCAACGCCGCGUGAGCGAUGAAGGCCUUCGGGUCGUAAAGCUCUGUCCUAAGGGAAGAAUACUGACGGUACCUUAGGAGGAAGCCCCGGCUAACUACGUGCCAGCAGCCGCGGUAAUACGUAGGUGGCUAGCGUUAUCCGGAAUUACUGGGCGUAAAGGGUGCGGAGGCGGCCCUUCAAGUCAGAGGUGAAAGGCUACGGCUCAAACGUAGUAAGACUUUGAAACAGUAGGGCUGGAGUGCAGGAGAGGAGGGAGGAAAUCCCAGUGUGACGGUGAAAUGCGUAGAUAUUGGGAUGAGCCCCAGAGGCGAAGGCGGCUAUCUGGAAUGUAACUGACGCUUAGGCACGAAAGCGUGGAGAGCGAACAGGAUUAGAUACCCUUGUAGAC
rnacentral:rRNA from 1 species